UGCAUGUCUAAGUACAAACAUAAAUAAAGUGAAACCGCAAAAGGCUCAUUAUAUCAGUUAUGGUUCCUUAGAUCGUAUUCAUAGUUACUUGGAUAACUGUGGUAAUUCUAGAGCUAAUACAUGCAAUUAAGAAGAAACCAGUAAAAUGGAAUCUUCGCUUUUAUUAGAUUUAAACCAAUGGGAAAUGUUCUGCAUUUUCAAUAAAAAUGGUUGAACUCUGGAUAACUUGUUGAUCGUAUGGUCUUGUACCGACGACGGAUCUUUCAAAUGUCUGCCCUAUCAACUAUUGAAGGUAGUGUCUUGGACUACCUUGGUUGCAACGGGUAACGGGGAAUCAGGGUUCGAUUCCGGAGAGGGAGCCUGAGAAACGGCUACCACAUCUAAGGAAGGCAGCAGGCGCGUAAAUUACCCACUCCCGGCACGGGGAGGUAGUGACGAAAAAUAACAAUACAAGACUCACAUCCGAGGCCUUGUAAUUGGAAUGAGUACACUUUAAAUCCUUUAACAAGGACCAUUAGAGGGCAAGUCUGGUGCCAGCAGCCGCGGUAAUUCCAGCUCUAAUAGCGUAUAUUAAAGUUGUUGCGGUUAAAACGUUCGUAGUUGAACCUGUGUUCCGUUCGGGCAGUACCUAGGGCCAUGCAAAUGGAACGGUACCAUGUCUUAUCUUCUUAUAUUCCAUUUUAUGGUUUUAAGAAAAGAACGUGAACGUAUUAUCGGCGCGUUCAUUGGCCAUAUCAUGGGGGCGUUUAGGCGUUUCUAUGAUAUGCGUUUAAUGUUCGCAUAAGCCCAUUUCAGUGCUCUUAACCGAGUGUUGCUGUGGGCCGAUACAAAUUACUUUGAACAAAUUAGAGUGCUUAAAGCAGGCUUGUUAUGCCUGAAUAUUUUGUGCAUGGAAUAAUGGAAUAGGACAUCUGUUCUACUUUCAUUGGUUUUUUAGACCAAGAUGUAAUGAUUAAUGGAAGCCGUUGGGGGCAUUAGUAUUACAACGCGAGAGGUGAAAUUCUUAGACCGUUGUAAGACUGACUAAAGCGAAAGCAUUUGCCAAAGAUGUUUUCAUUUAAUCAAGAACGAAAAGUUAGAGGUUCGAAGGCGAUCAGAUACCGCCCUAGUUCUAACCAUAAACGAUGCCAGCUAGCAAUUGAGUGUAGCUACUACUAUGGUUCUCUCAGACGCUUCGCGGGAAACCAAAGCUUUUGGGCUCCGGGGGAAGUAUGGUUGCAAAGCUGAAACUUAAAGGAAUUGACGGAAGGGCACCACCAGGAGUGGAUCCUGCGGCUUAAUUUGACUCAACACGGGACAUCUUACCAGGUCCGAACAUAAAUGAGUAAGACAGAUUGAUAGCUCUUUCUCGAAUCUAUGGGUGGUGGUGCAUGGCCGUUCUUAGUUCGUGGAGUGAUUUGUCUGGUUAAUUCCGAUAACGAACGAGACUCAAAUAUAUUAAAUAGAUGCAUUCAGGAUUAUGACGUUGAAGCCUUUUACUACCCGCCAAUAAUAGAUCUUGCUAGUGGAUGGAAUGAUGGUAAAAUAUUGUUCACGUGUGCUAGUUUGUUUUGUUUGUUGGUUGACUUGGUAGGAUGGGUCGAGUGAUACCUGUUUGUUUGUCUAAAUAUAAAAAUAGACACUUAGCUUCUUAAAUGGACAAAUUGUGUCUAACAAUAAUGAGAUUGAGCAAUAACAGGUCUGAGAUGCCCUUAGAUGUCCUGGGCUGCACGCGCGCUACAAUGAAGGUAUCAACGUGUGUUUCCUAGGCCGAGAGGUCGGGGUAAACCGCUGAACCACCUUCUUGCUUGGGAUUGUGGACUGAAACUGUUCACAUGAACCUGGAAUUCCCAGUAAGUGCGAGUCAUUAACUCGCAUUGAUUACGUCCCUGCCCUUUGUACACACCGCCCGUCGCUACUACCGAUUGAAUUGUUUAGUGAGGUCUCCGGACGUGAUCACUACGACGCACUAGCUGUGUUGCAGUUGUUUCACAGAAGUUGACCGAACUUUGGUUAUUUAGAAGGAAGUAAAAAGUCGUAACAAAGGUCUC
rnacentral:rRNA from 1 species